AUUCACUGCUGAUUGCAACAAUCUUUUAAUCAAGAAAACAGUGUGGAUAUUUUACUCCAGCUGGUAAUGGGGGCUGGGGGAAAUAGCGAGAUGAAUUUUACAAACUGAAUUUGAGAACUGAAUUUCUUCAAAGUGAUGAUACUUGCUAAAGAGAAUGAAGUGGCUAUAAAGCUUCUUUAAAAGAAUGAUAGCGUCGGAUUCAGCCUUCAAGCAGCAUGCUACAAAUGCACUCUGAUCCUAGGAGUAGCAACGGAAAAUAGCACUUCCAUGCAAAAGAAACUCAACUUUUCCAGCUGCUGUUUCACCAGCUUCAGGACUACAACAAAUCCUUCAAGUCCUUAUUAUAGCCUGAUAGUGUCUCACAUCAUCCAUUUUAAGCAGGAUCCAUCCAGGUAUAAAUGACACAAGCAACUGUACUUGCAUGCUUCAAGACCAUUCUGCAAUGCAUAUGGGAGUCAGCAGUGCCAAACAAGUGUUCAGCUUCAGGCUAUUGCAUGUUGCCUGCUCUUAUUGUGCUCACUCACACCUGCCCUGGCUCAGACAAGGGCCAGUUUGGAUCCAUGCUUCCUGCUGGGAAUGCCAUUCUGAAAGUAGAAUACUAGUGAGACUUCGACUCAGGUGGCCUUUCUGAGGGGAGACAAGAGCUAAGGAGAAUUUAUACCACAAAUCUCACAACUGGUGUCACUGACCAGAUUUGGGAACGUGAAAGAAACACCCAUGCUACAAGAAUCUGGAACUAUACAGACUAGUGCAAAUAGGCAGUCUGUUUCAGCUCUUCAGGACACGGGCUAUCUUUGAGGACAAUCUUCUGACACCUGAUUCUUGGAAUAAAGGACUAUCUGACUGCAACACCAUUGAUUAGCGAUGGACUAAGCUCGCCCAGCAGUGUGAACAAAUUGCCUGGAAAUGUCGUCAUCAGGCUUCAACUGGCACUAUCUCCCUUUCUGUCUGGGUCAUUGAUUUCCUCAUCUCCUUUGCCUUAAAACUCACAUCAUACAUCAAUUUCUGAGUCUCCAGCACUGAAGCAGCUGCACUGUGCCUUUCCUGCUCAACACCAGCAGCUUUCAGCCUCUGAAGUGUCCUUUACUGAUGCUCGUCUGAAGACCUCCUGAAUGUGCCUCAAGUGGCCUCCCUGCCUGCUACAUAAAAGCCUCUGCUCUGCCAGCUUUUGUUUCAUCACAAGAGGGCUUAGAGCUGUUCUGCUCUCGGAAAUUGGGUAAAAUUUGGUCUCCUUCCUACAAUGACUCAGUGUGCUGGAGAAAUGACUCCUGCCUUGUGCGAGCAGCUAUGGCAGGGCACCGAGCUGUGCCAGCCUCUGCUAGCCACCAGCUACCCUCAGGAGAGCCCCUCAGCCAGCAAGGAGCUGGGGCUGCUCUGCACACGGGUCUUAUGAUUGCUAAAUGUAGAGUCCAUUGAUAAAUAAAGCAAAUGCACAAAGUGUGCAAG
rnacentral:lncRNA from 7 species